UUUCUACUCCCUCCGUCCGAAAAUACUUGUCAUAAAAAUGGAUAAAAAGAGAUGUAUCUAAAACUAAAAUACAUCUAGAUACAUUUCCUUUUAUCCAUUUUGAUGACAAGUAUUUCCGGACGGAGGGAGUAUUUG
rnacentral:pre_miRNA from 1 species